rnacentral:rRNA from 1 species
GUUUUCGGAUGGAAUUUAAUAAACUUAUCGGCGGACGGGUGAGUAACGCGUGGGCAACCUGCCCUGUACAGAGGGACAACAACGGGAAACCGUUGCUAAUACCCCAUAAAACCCUAAAGGGGCAUCCCUUAUGGGUCAAAGAAUUUCGGUACAGGAUGGGCCCGCGUCUGAUUAGCUAGUUGGUGAGGUAAUGGCUCACCAAGGCGACGAUCAGUAGCCGACCUGAGAGGGUGAUCGGCCACACUGGAACUGAGACACGGUCCAGACUCCUACGGGAGGCAGCAGUGGGGAAUAUUGCACAAUGGGGGAAACCCUGAUGCAGCAACGCCGCGUGAGCGAUGAAGGCCUUCGGGUCGUAAAGCUCUGUCCUAAGGGAAGAAAUUUGACGGUACCUUAGGAGGAAGCCCCGGCUAACUACGUGCCAGCAGCCGCGGUAAUACGUAGGGGGCAAGCGUUAUCCGGAAUCACUGGGCGUAAAGGGUGCGUAGGCGGUCUUACAAGUCAGGGGUGAAAGGCUACGGCUCAACCGUAGUAAGCCUUUGAAACUGUAGGACUUGAGUGCAGGAGAGGAAAGUGGAAUUCCUAGUGUAGCGGUGAAAUGCGUAGAUAUUAGGAGGAACACCAGUGGCGAAGGCGACUUUCUGGACUGUAACUGACGCUGAGGCACGAAAGUGUGGGGAGCAAACAGGAUUAGAUACCCUGGUAGUCCACACCGUAAACGAUGAGUGCUAGGUGUUGGGGGUCGAACCUCAGUGCCGCAGCUAACGCAUUAAGCACUCCGCCUGGGGAGUACGCUCGCA